rnacentral:rRNA from 1 species
UCUACGGGUGGCAGCAGUGGGGAAUAUUGGACAAUGGGCGAAAGCCUGAUCCAGCCAUGCCGCGUGUGUGAAGAAGGCCUUCGGGUUGUAAAGCACUUUCAGUGGGGAAGAAAGCCUUGGGGCUAAUACCCUCGAGGAAGGACAUCACCCACAGAAGAAGCACCGGCUAACUCCGUGCCAGCAGCCGCGGUAAUACGGAGGGUGCGAGCGUUAAUCGGAAUUACUGGGCGUAAAGCGCGCGUAGGCGGUCUGAUAAGCCGGUUGUGAAAGCCCCGGGCUCAACCUGGGAACGGCAUCCGGAACUGUCAGGCUAGAGGGCAGGAGAGGAAGGUAGAAUUCCCGGUGUAGCGGUGAAAUGCGUAGAGAUCGGGAGGAAUACCAGUGGCGAAGGCGGCCUUCUGGACUGACACUGACGCUGAGGUGCGAAAGCGUGGGUAGCAAACAGGAUUAGAUACCCGAGUAGUC